UACAGAGGGUGCGAGCGUUAAUCGGAAUUACUGGGCGUAAAGCGUGCGUAGACGGUUAUUUAAGUCGGAUGUGAAAGCCCCGGGCUCAACCUGGGAAUUGCAUUCGAGACUGAAUAGCUAGGGUGCGGUAGAGGGAAGCGGAAUUUCCGGUGUAGCGGUGAAAUGCGUAGAUAUCGGAAGGAACAUCAGUGGCGAAAGCGGCUUCCUGGACCAGCACCGACGUUCAGGUACGAAAGCGUGGGUAGCAAACAGG
rnacentral:rRNA from 1 species